rnacentral:rRNA from 1 species
GAUGAACGCUGGCGGCGUGCCUAAUACAUGCAAGUCGAGCGAACAGACGAGGAGCUUGCUCCUUUGACGUUAGCGGCGGACGGGUGAGUAACACGUGGAUAACCUGCCUAUAAGACUGGGAUAACUUCGGGAAACCGGAGCUAAUACCGGAUAAUAUAUUGAACCGCAUGGUUCAAUAGUGAAAGACGGUUUUGCUGUCACUUAUAGAUGGAUCCGCGCCGCAUUAGCUAGUUGGUAAGGUAACGGCUUACCAAGGCAACGAUGCGUAGCCGACCUGAGAGGGUGAUCGGCCACACUGGAACUGAGACACGGUCCAGACUCCUACGGGAGGCAGCAGUAGGGAAUCUUCCGCAAUGGGCGAAAGCUUGACGGAGCAACGCCGCGUGAGUGAUGAAGGUCUUCGGAUCGUAAAACUCUGUUAUUAGGGAAGAACAAAUGUGUAAGUAACUAUGCACGUCUUGACGGUACCUAAUCAGAAAGCCACGGCUAACUACGUG